CUCAAGAGUGAGCUGCGGAAGCAAAAGGCAGACUUUUUGAUAUUCAGAGCCCUGGAAAUCAACACUGUCACAUGUCAGCUGAACUGUUCCGACCAUGGCCACUGUGACUCGUUCACCAAACGCUGUAUCUGUGACCCUUUUUGGAUGGAGAAUUUCAUCAAGGUGCAGCUGAGGGAUGGAGAAAGCAACUGUGAGUGGAGCGUGUUAUAUGUUAUCAUUGCUACCUUUGUCAUUGUUGUUGCCUUGGGAAUCCUGUCUUGGACUGUGAUCUGUUGUUGUAAGAGGCAAAAAGGAAAACCCAAGAGGAAAAGCAAGUACAAGAUCCUGGAUGCCACGGAUCAGGAAAGCCUGGAGCUGAAGCCAACCUCUCGAACAGCAUCCAGUGAAGCCAGAGCAAACAAAAGCCCACAGAGCAAAUGUCUGCAUGGACUGAAAUUGCACACUCCUGCUGUGCCAGGACUCAGCAGCCCUGCUGACCUAGGAUGCAGCUAAAAGCUCAUUCUCCAGAGCCUGAGUUCUUUGUGCUUUCCUGCCUACCAUGUCACUCCACCCAUAGAGGGAGAUGAUAAAAUAUUCCAAAUUUGAAAGGUAAAGAAAAGAGAAUGUCACUGGGUGGCCUGAACCAAAGCUCAUGGAUACUGGAGAUGAAGAACCAGCAGGAGACCCCAGG
rnacentral:sRNA from 1 species